GGGGGCGUCCUGGUUUCGACUGAACAUUAGAGGCGUUGGCAGCAUGUAGAGGUUAAUCGGUUGGCCUCUUUAAAAAGCCGAUUAAACAAAUAAAUGCAUAUUCCAAAAACGAAUACGCCCUGGCUGCGUAAAUUACGCGCCGGAGUCUUGUCUUAAUGCCUAUUAAAGACGAGCCUCUAAAUUAAAUAGGCAGGUGCAGCACGGGGUGACCGCGUGCUGCAUGACAUCCACAGGUCACUAGCCAGGUGAGAUGCAGACAUAGCGCGGAUCACCAGCGAAAUACCUAAGCUACGUCUGAACAUGGAGAAGCUUAUGCUAAAGGUGUUCAGGACAGGGGUUCGACUCCCCUCGCCUCCAC
rnacentral:tmRNA from 1 species